GACUUUACUAUCCCCUUAGCUGAGCAAGACUGAACUGUUUGCAUUUACAAUUCCUGCUGUAAACAACCUGCAGCCUGCUAAGCAUUUUCACUGGAAAGUGUUGCCACAAAGCAUGUUAAACAGUCCAACAAUUUGCCUGACGUAUGUAGGGCAAGCAAUUGAACCUACUCGUAAAAUAUUUUCACAGCAUUACAUUAUUAUGUAGAAGAUAUUCUUUUGUGCUGCCUCCACUUGGGAAAUAUUACUCCCAUGUUAUGAUCACUUGCAAAACUCGAUUUCUCAUGCCAGUUUAAUUAUAGCUUCUGACAAAAUUCAGACUACUCUUUACUCCUACUUGGGAACCUCAGUAAAUGACAUUACAAUAGUGCCACAGAAAGUAACCAUAUGUAAGGAUCAAUUGAAAACAUUUAAUGACUCAAAAAUUACUAGGGGACAUUAAUUGGAUACUACCUGAUCUAGGCAUUCCUACCUAUGCCAUGAGUAAUCUAUUUUCUAUCCUUAGAGGAGAUCCUAGUCUCAACUAACCCUCUGCAAUUAACAAAGGAGGCUGAGGCAGAGUUACAGCUAAUUGAAAAGCAAGUGCAUAAGGCUCAAAUAGAAUAGAUCCAGAGAAGAUUCUAGAUUUGCUAUUUUUUCCGACUCAACAUUCACCUACUGGUGUUAUUGUUCAACAGCAAGACUUAGUAGAAUGGCUUUUUCUGAAAACAAAAUUUUGAUAUCAAAAAUUGGAUUCUCCCUAGAAUAACUAAAUUUGAACCAAUUGAAGGUGCUGAAAAUAUUUUUAACAAAUGAGUCUAGUAAUGGUAAAAGCUUCUUAUUCUGGAUCAAAAAGUUAAAGUUUUUCAGACACCCUAUACUUCAAGCUCAAAAAGCAGAGACUUGUAGCUAUAAUUGAGGUGCUGGCUGCUUUUGAGAUGCCUGUCAAUGUAAUUUCUGAUUCUUCAUAUGUG
rnacentral:lncRNA from 1 species